CGUGAGCGAGAACGUGAUCGCGACAGGGACCAGCGUCGUGAUCGCGAUAAGGAGCGGGAGAAGGAACGGAGCGACCGUGACCGUGAACGUGACAGAGACCGCGACCGGAAGCAUCGUAGGCGAUCACCCCACGAACGGUCACGUCGCCGCUCCCGCGAUCGCCGCUAGAAAACUGAGGUAUCACAAAUCACCUCGAAAUGCUUAGUAAAAUGUACCAAAAUAUGGCAUAUGGGGAUUGACCCCGUUCGUUCGAUAGUUGUCGUCACACCGACGGAUUUGGCAGGUAUUUGAUUGGUAUUUUCAAAUAGUGGCUGGGUGCUUUCGUUGCUCACUUGCCGCGGUAUGGGCUCGUCGUUGUUGUAUUGAGGUACAUAAAAUUAUGAUUCGUCGUCUUGAGGCCAGAGCGAGAAAGCCUUCUGUCGCGUGCACGCGAUGACAGGUAUUUGUUAGGGUCACGAUAGCGAUUUUGGGAGAAGUUCCUGUUUAUAGGCUUUAAAAAAUAUUUGAGCUCUGUAUUAAUUCUCUAUCUAAAAAUUAAUGAUAACUUUUCUCUGUGUGAAUAGGUUUUUUACAAAUAUUUUACGCUACACAUUUAAUGGCAAUAAUGGAGAUGCCAAGAUGCGUUAUUUUGAGA